GUUAAGUGUCUGAAAGUGCAGUGUUCAAACAUAUAUUUAUGUUGUCAAUACUGUCAGAACUGUCAGUUUUACUAUACUGGAUUUGUACUACAUUUCGAAUUUACUCAUUUACGUAAAAUGCCCACCCUAGGAUUCCCCCACCCCCAAUCCAUCUCUCUCUUUCCUCCCAGCUCUGGAAAAUCCGUGUCAGUUUCUUCAAAGGAUUCAGCAAUCUUUGCCUCAGCUACAGUGUGCAGUGGCUCUUUUACUCAAUUUUCCACAUCAGAUUACAUGUCUUUUUCACCAUUUCUAACUUUCAGAGAUCCUUCCUCCAUUCUUUCCAACUCUGCCUACUCCAGCCUUUUCUCCAAAAGAGUAUUAUAGCACUUGGAGCAGUAUUGUAGCACUUGGACCACGUUCCCGUCCAUGGGGUCGCAAGGAGUCGAACAGGACUGAGCAACUGAACAAGAAGCACUUGGAAAGCUUCUGAUUUAAAUAGCCUCAUUUCAACUCCAAAUAAACCAUGAUUCCCUCCAAGACUGAUAGGAAAGACAGGGCCACUUCUGGACUAUCUGUGAGGAUGUGUUUCUUUCUAUAAUACUGAAGCACUUUUUAUAAACCUUUUGGUGUAUUUAAAUAAAUCUAUUUGGACAUUAAGAGAAGUCAUAUAUACAAAGAUAGCUUUGCUUUAUUCCAGUAAUCCCGAUAUUAGAAAAGAAUUUCACAAUCUGAGACGCCUUGGCCAAAAAAAAAAAAAAAGUUUUCUGCGUGUAUGUGCAUGUCUUCGUGCGCACGUUUAUAAACAUCUCCCAGUCCGCGUUUGCGUGUUACCUCCCUCCUGCCACACACUCGAAGGCAGAGGCGUCGAGGGAUCGCCCCCAGAGAGCUGUGUUUACUUAGGUUUUUUUUAAUCUCGCCGCCAUGUAUGACAAGUGUUACUUCAAGAAAUUCAUCAGCCUUCUAUAGAUACUUCCAGUUUUGCUGUAAUGAUCUGCAGAAGAGAACUGCCAUCACUUUCUCGCAUCCCAAGGUGUUGCAGGAACUCACCGAAAGGGGAAAGUGGCUGAAACGCUUAAUUACAGUGGGGGAGGGAGGGGCGCGAGGCGGAACCUCGGAAGGGAGAGUGGGGAAGGUCUUUACCUGGCCUGGACCUGAAGAAAGCUGUGAAUCCUCGCGUUGAAAAUUUGAGAAAGGUAGGAUUGCUUUUUUUUUUUUUUGCAAUGCCUUUGGGGAGAAGUGAUACCCUUGUGUAACAAUUAGCUCAGAC
ensembl:lncRNA